rnacentral:tRNA from 1 species
CGCUCAGUUGGCAGAGCAGUUGUCUCCAAAAACCACAGGCCGCUGGUUCGAAUCCACCC